AUGACCUGUGGAAAUUAAAGUAUUUUCAUUAAAAUAACUGCGAUGAAGGACAUCGUGCAGUCUAAGAACACUCAAUUGAGAUGAAAGAGAAUGCAUUCAUAUGCCCACAGAUUGAUUCUGACCUUUCAUUCACAGGAUCACAGGACAAUUCAUGGUAGAAAGGGUCAGAAUUACGGCUUGUAGCAGAAAUGCUAUAUCACAACAUGAAGCAGUGAUGGAGCAUCUGGUAGGAAGGCAGGGCCAACCCAUGGGAGCUCAGCUGCAUGCAAUAUUGCUGAGUGAUAAAGUGGUGGAGCCAGGAUCCAGCCCUCAUUUAAGGGCUGGCAGAGGAAGCGAGAGUAUCUCUCUGGAGAUCCCUAUGUACCUGAGGUCUUCUGAAGCAGGGGAAGGGCAUCUGUCAGGAGGGUCAUCCAGAAGGAGCAAGGGGCAAUGUGAGCAGUCAUCAGCAUCAAAAGCAGCCUGGCAGCUUCAGAGAACCGCUUCUCCCCAUACAGACGGUGGAAUUCACGGAAAAGGAUUCCAAGACAACCAAUCAAAGAUGCAGCUGCAAUUUUUCCUCCACAAGGAGAUCACCGCAACAGAGGAAAACUGCAGGUAAGGUCUUCAAAGACUUCUCU